rnacentral:rRNA from 1 species
UACGAAGGGUGCAAACGUUGCUCGGAAUUACUGGGCGUAAAGCGCGUGUAGGCUGCUUCGCAAGUCGGAUGUGAAAGCCCUGGGCUCAACCUAGGAAGUGCAUUCGAAACUUCGAAGCUGGAGUCCUGGAGAGGAAGGCGGAAUUCUCGGUGUAGAGGUGAAAUUCGUAGAUAUCGAGAGGAACACCGGUGGCGAAGGCGGCCUUCUGGACAGUGACUGACGCUGAGACGCGAAAGCGUGGGGAGCAAACAGG